rnacentral:rRNA from 1 species
UACGGAGGGUGCAAGCGUUAAUCGGAAUUACUGGGCGUAAAGCGCACGCAGGCGGUCUGUCAAGUCGGAUGUGAAAUCCCCGGGCUCAACCUGGGAACUGCAUCCGAAACUGGCAGGCUUGAGUCUCGUAGAGGGGGGUAGAAUUCCAGGUGUAGCGGUGAAAUGCGUAGAUAUCUGGAGGAACACCGGUGGCGAAGGCGGCAUCCUGGACCGAUACUGACGCUGAGGAGCGAAAGCCAGGGGAGCAAACGGG